rnacentral:RNase_P_RNA from 1 species
GCCGGAUAAUCGCGCCCUUCGGGGUGAGGAAAGUCCGUGCAUCCAAGGACAGGUCGCCGGAGAAACUCCGGACGGUGUGAGCCGGUGGAAAGUGGGACAGAAAUGAUGGGGUAAAUAGUUCCGACUAUAAACCCCGGCAAAUUGAAAAGUUUGUCAGACUGCCGAUGGAACGUAAGUUUACAGGCGAUGGUGCAACGGUGAGUUAAGAGCUUCACCAGCGGUAUCGAGAGGUACCGGCUACCUAAACCCCGACCGGAUGCAAGAUUGAAACAGGCGCUUGAGGUGUCCGCCGAGCCUGAAAAAAUCGCUAGAGAUUGGGAGUAAUCCCAAUACCAGACAGAUGAUUAUCGGGGUAAAUAUAUUACCCCCGGCUUUAUUUAAAACUAAAAUUUGAAUAAAGUCGAGAAACAGAACACGGCUUAUGAGCUGCUUUA